rnacentral:rRNA from 1 species
UACAGAGGUCCCAAGCGUUGUUCGGAUUCACUGGGCGUAAAGGGUGCGUAGGCGGCGAGGUAAGUCUGACGUGAAAUCUCCGGGCCUAACCCGGAAACUGCGUUGGAUACUAUCUCGCUCGAGGAAUGGAGGGGAGACUGGAAUACUUGGUGUAGCAGUGAAAUGCGUAGAUAUCAAGUGGAACACCAGUGGCGAAGGCGAGUCUCUGGACAUUUCCUGACGCUGAGGCACGAAAGCCAGGGGAG